rnacentral:rRNA from 1 species
UAUUGGUCAAUGGGCGGGAGCCUGAACCAGCCAAGUCGCGUGAGGGACGACGGUCCUAUGGAUUGUAAACCUCUUUUGUCGGGGAACAAAGGCGCCCACGGGUGGGCGGAUGAGUGUACCCGAAGAAAAAGCAUCGGCUAACUCCGUGCCAGCAGCCGCGGUAAUACGGAGGAUGCGAGCGUUAUCCGGAUUUAUUGGGUUUAAAGGGUGCGUAGGCGGGCUUUUAAGUCAGCGGUAAAGAUUCGGGGCUCAACCCCGUCCGGCCGUUGAAACUGGGGGCCUUGAGUGGGCGAGAAGAAGGCAGAAUGCGUGGUGUAGCGGUGAAAUGCAUAGAUAUCACGCAGAACCCCGAUUGCGAAGGCAGCCUUCCGGCGCCCUACUGACGCUGAGGCACGAAAGUGCGGGGAUCG